CGCGGCCUAUCAGCUUGUUGGUGAGGUAAUGGCUCACCAAGGCGACGACGGGUAGCCGGCCUGAGAGGGCGACCGGCCACACUGGGACUGAGACACGGCCCAGACUCCUACGGGAGGCAGCAGUGGGGAAUAUUGGGCAAUGGAGGAAACUCUGACCCAGCGACGCCGCGUGCGGGAUGAAGGCCUUCGGGUUGUAAACCGCUUUCAGCAGGGAAGAAGCGAAAGUGACGGUACCUGCAGAAGAAGCACCGGCUAACUAUGUGCCAGCAGCCGCGGUAAUACAUAGGGUGCAAGCGUUGUCCGGAAUUAUUGGGCGUAAAGAGCUCGUAGGUGGUUCGUCACGUCGGAUGUGAAACUCUGGGGCUCAACCCCAGACCUGCAUCCGAUACGGUCGAGCUAGAGUUUGGUAGGGGAGACUGGAAUUCCUGGUGUAGCGGUGGAAUGCGCAGAUAUCAGGAGGAACACCAAUGGCGAAGGCAGGUCUCUGGGCCAAUACUGACACUGAGGAGCGAAAGCGUGGGAGCGAACAGGAUUAGAUACCCUGGUAGUCCUAGCCGUAAACGUUGGGUGCUAGGUGUGGGUGGACAUCGACCCCAUCCGUGCCGAAGCUAACGCAUUAAGCACCCCGCCUGGGGAGUACG
rnacentral:rRNA from 1 species